rnacentral:rRNA from 1 species
AAUACGUAGGGGGCUAGCGUUGUCCGGAUUUAUUGGGCGUAAAGAGCGUGUAGGCGGCCAGGUAGGUCUGCUGUGAAAACUCGAGGCUCAACCUCGAGACGUCGGCGGAAACCAUCUGGCUAGAGUCCGGAAGAGGAGAGUGGAAUUCCUGGUGUAGCGGUGAAAUGCGCAGAUAUCAGGAAGAACACCCGUGGCGAAGGCGGCUCUCUGGGACGGUACUGACGCUGAGACGCGAAAGCGUGGGGAGCGAACAGGA